rnacentral:lncRNA from 1 species
GCAUAGUUUCUGAUGGAGCCAUGAGCUUUACUCUUGAAGCUGCCGCAGAACUAGGCGUCCCAGAAAUAUUGUUUUGGACUCCUAGUGCAUGUGGAUUCUUGGGUUAUAUGCACUAUGCUGAGCUCAUAGAAAAGGGUCUCAUACCACUCAAAGGUACUCUUCAGGCCCAAGAACUUUUUGUGGUAUUUCUCCUUUGAGCUCUCGUCAGAGAGACUUUUAGCACUAGUUGGAUUUCUGAACUUCUGCACUGCGAAAUAGAUAAAAUAUAACCCCCUUGGCAACUAGCUUGAUGGCAUUUAAGAUAUUAAUAAUUACUGUAUCUUCUUUUUUAUUUUUUAAUCGAGUUAAACUUGUGAAUCCUUGUCAAUUACAGAUGCAAGUUAUUUGUCAAAUGGAUACCUUGAGCAAGCUUUGGAUUGGAUUCCCGGGAUGAAAGAUAUACGUCUGAGAGAUCUUCCAAGUUUCUUAAGAACUACAAAUCCGGAUGACUACAUUGUAAAGUUCGUACUGCAAGAGACUGAGAGAGCCAAGAAGGCUUUAGCUAUUAUUUUGAACACAUUUGAGGAGCUGGAAGAGGAUGUUAUAAAUGCUCUGUCUGCCAUCCUUCCUCCCAUCUACGCCAUUGGGCCUCUACAGCUU